rnacentral:rRNA from 1 species
GCGAGAAAACUUUGCAAUGUGCGAAAGCACGACAAGGUUAAUCCGAGUGGUUUCUGCUAAAGAAACCUUUUGUCAGUCCUAGAAACACUAACGAAUAAGGGGUGGGCAAGUUCUGGUGUCAGCCGCCGCGGUAAAACCAGCACCUCAAGUGGUCAGGAUGAUUAUUGGGCCUAAAGCAUCCGUAGCUCGUUUUGUAAGUUUUCGGUUAAAUCCAUACGCUUAACGUAUGGGCUGCCGGGAAUACUGCAUAACUAGGAAGUGGGAGAGGUAGACGGUACUCGGUAGGAAGGGGUAAAAUCCUUUGAUCUAUUGAUGACCACCUGUGGCGAAGGCGGUCUACCAGAACACGUUCGACGGUGAGGGAUGAAAGCUGGGGGAGCAAACCGGAUUAGAUACCCAAGUAGUCCCUGAGCGGGCUGGCAAGGCGCAU